rnacentral:rRNA from 1 species
GACGUAGGGGGCAAGCGUUGUUCGGAAUUAUUGGGCGUAAAGCGCUCGUAGGCGGGACAGGAAGUUCGUGUUGAAAGACCUCGGCUCAACUGAGGGACCGGCUCGAAUACUCUUGUUCUUGAGGCAAUCAGAGGGUGAUGGAAUUCCCGGUGUAGCGGUGAAAUGCGUAGAUAUCGGGAGGGACACCAGUGGCGAAGGCGAUCACCUGGGGUUGUUCUGACGCUGAGGCACGAAAGUGUGGGGAUCAAACAGG